rnacentral:rRNA from 1 species
GAUGAACGCUGGCGGCGUGCCUAAUACAUGCAAGUCGAGCGAACGGACGAGAAGCUUGCUUCUCUGAUGUUAGCGGCGGACGGGUGAGUAACACGUGGAUAACCUACCUAUAAGACUGGGAUAACUUCGGGAAACCGGAGCUAAUACCGGAUAAUAUUUUGAACCGCAUGGUUCAAAAGUGAAAGACGGUCUUGCUGUCACUUAUAGAUGGAUCCGCGCUGCAUUAGCUAGUUGGUAAGGUAACGGCUUACCAAGGCAACGAUGCAUAGCCGACCUGAGAGGGGGAUCGGCCACAGUGGAACUGAGACACGGUACAGAGUCCUACGGAAGGCAGCAGUAGGGAAUCGUCGGCAAUGGGCGAAAGCCUGACGGAGCAACGCAGCGUGAGUGAUGAAGGUCUUCGGAUCGUAAAACUCUGUUAUUAGGGAAGACCAUAUGUGUAAGUAACUGUGCACAUCUUGACGGUACCGAAUCAGAAAGCCACGGCUAACUACGU